rnacentral:pre_miRNA from 1 species
CGAAACUUGAAAACUAACUUUGGAUCAAAAAAUGGACGUCCGAAAUUCGUCCACGUCACCAUGAGUUAAAAUUUUACUCAUGAGUGAAUCUACGAGUAAAAUUUUUAAUUACUUGUAAUGACGUGGACGAAUCUCAUAUGUCUAUUUUUCGAUCCAAAGGUAGUUUUUAGGUUUCU